rnacentral:pre_miRNA from 1 species
UCUCACGGUUGAGCAGAAGUAAGUGGUUUCUUGAGAUGGAAUCUACUCCUGGUGAAGACACUGUGAA